rnacentral:rRNA from 1 species
CUUGGUCAUUUAGAGGAAGUAAAAGUCGUAACAAGGUUUCCGUAGGUGAACCUGCGGAAGGAUCAUUACUGAAUUUUUGAAGGAGCUGUUUGCUGGCCCUGUCAAGGGGCAUGUGCACGCUCCGUUCAAAACUUUCCACCUUCACACCCCUGUGCACCUUCUGUAGGGUCGAGGUCGAGAGGCCAACACCCUAUGUUGUUACAAACCCUGCUAUGUUAUAGAAUGUCAUUGCGUGUAACGCAUUUAUAUACAACUUUCAGCAACGGAUCUCUUGGCUCUCGCAUCGAUGAAGAACGCAGCGAAAUGCGAUAAGUAAUGUGAAUUGCAGAAUUCAGUGAAUCAUCGAAUCUUUGAACGCACCUUGCGCUCCUUGGUAUUCCGAGGAGCAUGCCUGUUUGAGUGUCAUGGAAUCAUCAACUCUCAUCUGUUAUGGAUGAGGGCUUGGACUUGGGGGUUUUGCUGGUGUCUGCCAGCUCCUCUUGAAUGCAUUAGCUUGAACCUCUGCUGUAUCGGCUUCAACGUGAUAAUUGUCUACGUUGUGGCUGAGAGGCGCUCCGUCGUAGGUUUGGCUUCUAACGGUCUCUUUGAUGAGACAUACACCUUUGACCUCUGGCCUCAAAUCAGGUAGGACUACCCGCUGAACUUAAGCAUAUCAAUAAGCGGAGGAAAAGAAACUAACAAGGAUUCCCCUAGUAACUGCGAGUGAAGCGGGAAAAGCUCAAAUUUAAAAUCUGGUGGCUUUGCCGCCCGAGUUGUAAUCUGGAGAAGUGCUUUCCGUGCUGGACCGUGUACAAGUCUCUUGGAACAGAGCGUCAUAGAGGGUGAGAAUCCCGUCUUUGACACGGACUACCAGUGCUUUGUGAUGCGCUCUCAAAGAGUCGAGUUGUUUGGGAAUGCAGCUCAAAAUGGGUGGUAAAUUCCAUCUAAAGCUAAAUAUUGGCGAGAGACCGAUAGCGAACAAGUACCGUGAGGGAAAGAUGAAAAGAACUUUGGAAAGAGAGUUAAACAGUACGUGAAAUUGCUGAAAGGGAAACACUUGAAGUCAGUCGCGUUGGCCAGAACUCAACCUUGCUCUGGCAUGGUGUACUUUCUGGUUGACGGGUCAGCAUCAGUUUUGAUCGUCGGACAAUGGUCAAGGGAAUGUGGCAUCCUCGGAUGUGUUAUAGCCUUUGAUCGCAUGCGAUGGUCGGGACUGAGGAUCUUGGCACCUUGUGCUUAGGAUGCUGGCAUAAUGGCUUUAAAUGACCCGUCUUGAAACACGGACCAAGGAGUCUAACGUGCAUGCGAGUGUUUGGGUGGUAAACCCGAGCGCGUAAUGAAAGUGAAAGUUGAGACCCCUGUCGUGGGGGGCAUCGACGCCCGGACCAGACCUUCUGUGACGGCCCUGCGGUAGAGCAUGUAUGUUGGGACCCGAAAGAUGGUGAACUAUGCCUGAAUAGGGUGAAGCCAGAGGAAACUCUGGUGGAGGCUCGUAGCGAUUCUGACGUGCAAAUCGAUCGUCAAAUUUGGGUAUAGGGGCGAAAGACUAAUCGAACCA